rnacentral:rRNA from 1 species
UAGGGAAUCUUCGGCAAUGGACGGAAGUCUGACCGAGCAACGCCGCGUGAGUGAAGAAGGUUUUCGGAUCGUAAAGCCCUGUUGUUAGAGAAGAACGUUGGUAGGAGUGGAAAAUCUACCAAGUGACGGUAACUAACCAGAAAGGGACGGCUAACUACGUGCCAGCAGCCGCGGUAAUACGUAGGUCCCGAGCGUUGUCCGGAUUUAUUGGGCGUAAAGCGAGCGCAGGCGGUUCGUUAAGUCUGAAGUUAAAGGCAGUGGCUUAACCAUUGUACGCUUUGGAAACUGGAGGACUUGAGUGCAGAAGGGGAGAGCGGAAUUCCGUGUGUAGCGGUGAAAUGCGUAGAUAUAUGGAGGAACACCGGUGGCGAAAGCGGCUCUCUGGUCUGUAACUGACGCUGAGGCUCGAAAGCGUGGGGAGCAAACAGG